AAACCAACAGGGAUUACCUUAGUAACGGCGAGUGAAGCGGUAAGAGCUCAAAUUUGAAAUCUAGCACUUUCAGUGUUCGAGUUGUAAUUUGAAGAAGGUAACUUUGGAGUUGGCCCUUGUCUAUGUUCCUUGGAACAGGACGUCACAGAGGGUGAGAAUCCCGUGCGAUGGGGUGUCCAACUCUAUGUAAAGUGCUUUCGAAGAGUCGAGUUGUUUGGGAAUGCAGCUCUAAGUGGGUGGUAAAUUCCAUCUAAAGCUAAAUAUUGGCGAGAGACCGAUAGCGAACAAGUACAGUGAUGGAAAGAUGAAAAGAACUUUGAAAAGAGAGUGAAAAAGUACGUGAAAUUGUUGAAAGGGAAGGGCUUUAGAUCAGACUUGGUGUUUAGUACUCUUCACUCCUUGUGGGUGGGGCUCUUGCUUUAUACUGGGCCAGCAUCGGUUUGGAUGGUAGGAUAAUAGCAUUGGAACGUGGCUUCGCUUCGGUGGAGUGUUAUAGCCUUUGUUGAUACUACCUAUCUAGACCGAGGACUGCGUCUUUUGACUAGGAUGCUGGCGUAAUGAUCCAAAGCCGC
rnacentral:rRNA from 1 species